rnacentral:rRNA from 1 species
UAGGGAAUCUUCGGCAAUGGGGGGAACCCUGACCGAGCAACGCCGCGUGAGUGAAGAAGGUUUUCGGAUCGUAAAGCUCUGUUGUUAAGGAAGAACGAGUGUGAGAAUGGGAAGUUCAUACUGUGACGGUACUUAACCAGAAAGGGACGGCUAACUACGUGCCAGCAGCCGCGGUAAUACGUAGGUCCCGAGCGUGGUCUGGAUUUAUUGGGCGUAAAGCGAGCGCGGGCGGUUAGAUAAGUCUGAAGUUAAAGGCAGUGGCUCAACCAUUGUAGGCUUUGGAAACUGUUUAACUUGAGUGCAGAAGGGGAGAGUGGAAUUCCAUGUGUAGCGGUGAAAUGCAUAGAUAUAUGGAGGAACUCCGGUGGCGAAAGCGGCUCUCUGGUAUGUAACUGACGCUGAGGCUCGAAAGCGUGGGGAGCGAACAGG